GAUGAACGCUGACAGCAUGCUUAACACAUGCAAGUCAACUGUGGCGGACGGGUGAGUAACGCGUAAAGAACUUGCCUCACAGCUAGGGACAACAUUUGGAAACGAAUGCUAAUACCUGAUACUGUGAGAGAGCUUUGCGUCCCAUUAGCUAGUUGGAGAGGUAACGCCUCUCCAAGGCGAUGAUGGGUAGCCGGCCUGAGAGGGUGAUCGGCCACAAGGGGACUGAGACACGGCAGAUAAACCUACGGGAGGUAGCAGGAGGGAAUAUAGGACAAGGUACCAAAGUCUGAUCCGGGAAUUCUGUGUGCACGAUGAAAUUUUCGGAAUGUAAAGGGCUGUCAGUUGGGAAGCGGUACCAACAGAAGAAGUGACGGCUAAAUACGUGCCAGCAGCCGCGGUAAUAC
rnacentral:rRNA from 1 species